rnacentral:rRNA from 1 species
UUGGUUAAGUUAGAAAGGGCGCACGGUGGAUGCCUUGGCACUAGGAGCCGAAGAAGGACGGGACUAACACCGAUAUGCUUUGGGGAGCUGUACGUAAGCGUUGAUCCAGAGAUUUCCGAAUGGGGGAACCCACUAUCUUUAGUCGGAUAGUAUCCUUACGUGAAUACAUAGCGUGAGGAAGGCAGACCCAGGGAACUGAAACAUCUAAGUACCUGGAGGAAGAGAAAGAAAAAUCGAUUUCCUGAGUAGCGGCGAGCGAAACGGAAAGAGCCCAAACCAAGAAGCUUGCUUCUUGGGGUUGUAGGACACUCUAUACGGAGUUACAAAAGAAAGUUAUAAAUGAAGCGGUCUGGAAAGGCCCGCCAAAGACGGUAACAGCCCGGUAGUUGAAAUGGCUUUCCCUCCAGAGUGGAUCCUGAGUACGGCGGAACACGUGAAAUUCCGUCGGAAUCCGGGAGGACCAUCUCCCAAGGCUAAAUACUCCCUAGUGACCGAUAGUGAACCAGUACCGUGAGGGAAAGGUGAAAAGCACCCCGGAAGGGGAGUGAAACAGUUCCUGAAACCGUGUGCCUACAAGUAGUUAGAGCCCGUUAAUGGGUGAUAGCGUGCCUUUUGUAGAAUGAACCGGCGAGUUACGAUUUGUUGCAAGGUUAAGCGGAAAAAGCGGAGCCGUAGCGAAAGCGAGUCUGAAUAGGGCGCAUAAGUAACAGGUCGUAGACCCGAAACCAGGUGAUCUACCCAUGUCCAGGAUGAAGGUAAGGUAAUACUUACUGGAGGUCCGAACCCACGCACGUUGAAAAGUGCGGGGAUGAGGUGUGGGUAGCGGAGAAAUUCCAAUCGAACUUGGAGAUAGCUGGUUCUCUCCGAAAUAGCUUUAGGGCUAGCCUCGAGGUAAAGAGUCAUGGAGGUAGAGCACUGUUUGGACUAGGGGCCCUUCUCGGGUUACCGAAUUCAGAUAAACUCCGAAUGCCAUGUACUUAUACUCGGGAGUCAGACUGCGAGUGAUAAGAUCCGUAGUCGAAAGGGAAACAGCCCAGACCACCAGUUAAGGUCCCCAAAUAUAUGUUAAGUGGAAAAGGAUGUGGGGUUGCUUAGACAACCAGGAUGUUGGCUUAGAAGCAGCCACCAUUGAAAGAGUGCGUAAUAGCUCACUGGUCGAGUGACCCCGCGCCGAAAAUGUACCGGGGCUAAACAUAUUACCGAAACUGUGGAUGAACCUCUUUAGAGGUUCGUGGUAGGAGAGCGUUCUAAGGGCGG